UAUUUGCACACAAGCACAUAUGCGCAUGCUCAAUCAAUGUGUUGUUUAGGUGGACAAACUUCUAAUUUUUUUAGGGAGAAUUACAAAUUAGUCCCUUGUGUUAACCAAUGCAUGUUAUCACUGGAUGUGAUGAAAUCCUCUGUUGGUCUGUGUACUUGAGUCACCUGCGAUGCCACUAGCAUCUAGCCCUCCAGAGCAAAGAGUUUCAUUCCCAGCUGCAUCUUGACAUUGCCUCUUAAUCCAAUUCUGGUCCAACUCGGUGCAGCAACCACCACUACUGCUGCUGCCAAUCCACUGCCACUGCUGCAAAGCAAGCUCUGUCCUUUCUAAUACUAAAAUAACCAUUUUCAUCUUCCAAUAUGAGGUCUGAAAAGUCUCACUAUCAUCAGAUCAUUGUUAAUUAUAAUAACAGUCAAUGCCUGUCUCAGUGCCAAAAAACUGAGAAGUCCUGGCCUGGUAAUCUUGGAGUAUGUUGACCUAAACCUCAUAGAGAAAAUAUCUAGUGUAAACCUAUUUCACAUUAAUUCAUAUGUUGUCUAUGUUAGAGCAUUUUCUCCCCUUGUUUGGUUUUCCUUCGAGGGGCUGAAAUUUUGGGCUGGUUUUUCUGUUGUUUGGGUUUGUUGAUUUUGUAAUGGACACACACA
rnacentral:misc_RNA from 1 species